rnacentral:tRNA from 1 species
GGGCCGGUAGCUCAGCUGGUCAGAGCAGCGGACUCAUAAUCCGUAGGUCGGUGGUUCGAGUCCACCCCGGCCCA